CGUAGGGCCGUGGGACGGCA
rnacentral:miRNA from 1 species